rnacentral:rRNA from 1 species
CACGUAGGGGGCAAGCGUUGUCCGGAUUUAUUGGGCGUUAAAGAGCUCGUAGGCGGCUCAGUAAGUCGGGUGUGAAACCUCCAGGCUCAACCUGGAGACGCCACCUGAUACUGCUGUGGCUAGAGUCCGGUAGGGGAGCGUGGAAUUCCUGGUGUAGCGGUGAAAUGCGCAGAUAUCAGGAGGAACACCAGCGGCGAAGGCGGCGCUCUGGGCCGGAACUGACGCUGAGGAGCGAAAGCGUGGGUAGCAAACAGG